GGGGCCGAUCCGGAUUCGACGUGGGUCGCGAAACAACUCAGGGCAUGCCGAGCACCAGUAAGCUCGUAAAUCCACUGGAACACUACAAACGCCAACGACGAGCGUUUCGCUCUCGCCGCUUAAUCGGUGAGCCGCUGCACUGAUCUGUCCUUGGGUCAGGCGGAGGAAGGCAACUUCCUAGGGGGCAACCCCGAACCGCAGCAGCGACAUUUACAAGGAAUCGGUCUGCGCUGGGGUCACACGGCUCAGAUUUAAAUUACGUGAAUCGCUCUGGUCCGGCCUGUCGGUUGGCUAAGUCCAGAGUUAAAACCAAAUAGGCCGACUACGCAUGUAGAACUGGUUGCGGAGGGCUUGCGGACGGGGGUUCAAUUCCCCCCGGCUCCACCA
rnacentral:tmRNA from 2 species